GUUCUGCCUCUGCAGCCGCGACACCCGCGCGUGCCUUCGCCUCCGCCGCCGCGAUGGCCGUGCCUCUGCCCCCGCCUCCUCCGCCCUCGCGACGCUGCGCCCUCCCCCGCGAUGCCUGCGCCUUCGUCCCCGUGAUGCUCGCGCCUACCCCCGCCUCCUCUGCCCCCGCGACACCGCGCGCGCAGCCUCCUCCCCGCGAUGCCCGCCCAAGCUCCCAAAUGCCGGCCCCCGUCUCCUCCACCGCGACUCCCCUCGCUCUCCCGAGACUCCCAGAUGCUGGCCCCCGUAUCCUCGGCCCUGAUGCCGCCGCGAUUCCCAGAUGCCGGCCCCCGUAUCCUCGGCCCCGCGCUCGCUCUCCUGAGCUCCGACGGGCUCCCGCCCUAGCCCCUGACACCAUGUUGUGCCCAACCCUAAACCUAGCCACCACGCCGUCAACAACGCCACCUUCCUUCCUCGCCACCACACCUUCUUUAGAUGGAAGGCGCGACUGGUGGCAUCUUCCUGAUCUCGGAGCACGUCUAAUCCUCGCUCCAAAUGCUGCUCCGCCCCCAAUCCGUGCGGCAUCUUCAGAUGGAAGCCGGGACAAUGCCCCAUCCCCCUCUCCCGAGCCCCGACGACUGACAUUCCAGGGAUGUCGCUCUGCGAUCCUCACCUCCUCGUCGUUGGCGGUCGCGCGACCUCCUGACCGUCGUCUCCGCCCGCGAGAUCCCCCCGACUCGCCCACCUCUCCGUCCACAGCCGCCUCCAUCACGCACCUCCACGCCGACGAGAAGGCUCGCCCACCUCUCAGUCCACGACUGCCUACGACGCGUCUUCUGAAUAAAGAUCUCUCGAAGCACCCGGUGGAUGGGUUCUCUGCUGGGCUGGUCGACGACAGCAAUGUCUUCGAGUGGCAGGUCACCAUCAUCGGACCGCCUGACACCCUAUAGAUUGGUUGUUGGACCUGUUUGGUGUUCUUCAUGAUGGGAAGAAGUCGUACCCGACCAUUCUGGCAUGUAUGUUGGUAGUUUCUCUCGAGAGUUUAUAUUAGCCCAUGGUACUGAAGUCUUUGGUUCACCUUCUAGCAAUCCUCUUCCCAAAAGUCUCGAGAAGCUUGAGCAGGUUCUAAUGCUUGGCCUAGAAAAGGGACUUCCAAUGGUGCUGCCUAAUCCAGAAUUCCAGAUUAUGUCACUGUCGAAGCUUGAGAUCUUCGUGUCAUGUCUGGGUUUGGAGGCUCGUCGGCAACCGGACAGGAAAACAGCAAGGCGGAAGGGCAUUGCUCGAUCGCUGGUCCGAUGAGUGGCACUGUCAGGGAGCGUGACAGGGGCGACAAAUCUAGACCUCCACGUCGGUAAGAUGUUGUGGCAAAAUGUCAGUGAGCUCACAUUUUGAGGAGCUGAGGGUCAAUGUCAGCGAGCUCACUGUUGAGGAGCUGAGGGUCCCUGAGUACCUGCAGUUCAAGGAACAACUUAUGGAAGAAGGCUUUAAGGUUGAGGCUGGGAGAACUUACCAUCGGACAGUUCUAGAGAUACUUGACCAAUUGGAAAAAUGUGCAAAAUCAUGUUCUCCUAUUGAUAGAAGCAUUUAUUUAGAUUUGGCUUACAUUGAUGGAUGAAUAUGAUUUAUAUGAAGUUCCUGGUAUCUAUCGGCUUCAUGGUAUAUCUCUACUACUCUUAAGAAGAUACCAGAUAAUAACAAGGCAAAUAGAUGGUUACUGUGGCAGUCAAAAGUUUGAAGCCAGAUGCGCUUCAAGGUCAUAGAGAAUGGGUGGCAGAAGUUGACUUUCUGGGACAGUUGCAUCAUAAACACCUUAUUAAGCUGAUUGGAUAUUGUAUUGAGGAUGAUCAAAGGUUACUUGUAUAUGAAUUUCAUGGCACGGGGAAGUCUUGAAAAUCAUCUUUUCAGAAGGACUCUUCCCCUACCUUGGUCCAACAGGAUGAAGAUUGCUCUAGGUGCCGCGAAAGGACUAGCCUUCCUCCAUGGAGGUCCCAAACCUGUUAUUUACAAGGAUUUUAAGACAUUGAAUGUUCUUCUUGAUGUGGAGUACAACGCAAAACUAUCUGAUUUCGGUUUAGCAAAAGCUGGUCAUCAGGGUGAAAAAACUCAUGUAUCUACUCGGGUUGUUGGCACCUAUGGUUAUGUUGCACCAGAGUAUGUAAUGACAGGUAUCAGGGAUAAACUUUUGACUUCAGUAGCUACCUAUAGCAGAAAUUAUGUACCUUGUUUAUCUGUUGCAUGUUGGUUCUUUACACUGUUUUCUGAGCUUGUAGUUAUUCUCGUGUUCACUCCAUAUUGGAUAGUAAAUUGGCUUAACAUUUUUGUCCGAAGACAUAAAACUAAGGUGCCAUUACAAAUGUUCUUCUUUCAAGUGAAACUGUGUUUUUCGUUUUUACAUGCAGUAAAGGUUGUAAGGCUGUAGACUUAUAUAAUGAAUCUUGCGCUCCACUUCUUUGGGACAUGAUUUAACAUUUCUUAACAUUUCUCACUCUAUAACGCUUUCAGAUCACUUUUCAUAUGUUUUUUAGAUGCACUUUUUUUUUGGAGACUAAGCCCUAAGGGCAACAAUGGAGAUGACCAGCGUCUUGGUUUAUCAAGAGGAAGUUAAUCCCUCUCAACUGAAACUCCCAUCAAAUUUGGGGCGUAGUGUGUCGAUUCAGUUGUAACUAUUAUAUGUCAUUUUGGGUUAGCAAACUGUAUCUACUAAUUUCUCAGACUUAUGCCUUUUGAGCUAGAAACUUGUGUAAGAAUUUUUUGCACUCAGUGACAUGCUGGAUAGUGCGAGUAGCAGAUUACAAUAGUGACGGAUGAACAUUGUAUUUUACUUUACAUGAUGGAUUUUUUUGAUGUGUAAGGCUUUUAAGGCAUGUAAAAAUUCUUAACUUUUAAAAGAUGCUAAC